GAUGUCUUGGCUUGAUAUAUGUGGAGGCGGUAUUUUGGUGAAUGCACGGGUUAUGCUGUUAAUGACGUAUCACUGUGUCGGCUUGCAAGUAUAUAGCAUGAACGGAGGUCCUACAAUGGUUGUAUGAUGCUGAAUUGUGAUAGUUAGCUUGAUGAUUGUGAAGCUUGUAAAUGUAUUUGAAUCGGAUUCGAAAUGCUUCUUGCCUAGGAAUCCUAUUUGGUGCAGUGAGUAUUGUGGAGGCUUGAAGAAUAAAUGAAGCAUGGAGAUUUAGGAAUAAACUUAGGAUGAACUUGGAAUGGAGAUUAGGAAUAUUGAUGUUUAGUGCAAACUUGUGUAUUUUCUUUUGGACUUUGAAAUGGAUGUACAUGACAUGAUAUAUGUUUUUUUUUGUUGGCUGUUUUAAAGAAUUCUGAAUUGUAUAAACUGAUUCUUACGGACCCCAAUGACUGGUUUUGUGGCU